GAUGAACGCUGGCGGCGUGCCUAAUACAUGCAAGUCGAGCGAACAGAUGAGGAGCUUGCUCCUCUGACGUUAGCGGCGGACGGGUGAGUAACACGUGGAUAACCUACCUAUAAGACUGGGAUCACUUCGGGAAACCGGAGCUAAUACCGGAUAAUAUAUUGAACCGCAUGGUUCAAUAGUGAAAGACGGUUUUGCUGUCACUUAUAGAUGGAUCCGCGCCGCAUUAGCUAGUUGGUAAGGUAACGGCUUACCAAGGCAACGAUGCGUAGCCGACCUGCGAGGGUGAUCGGCCACACUGGAACUGAGACACGGUCCAGACUCCUACGGGAGGCAGCAGUAGGGAAUCUUCCGCAAUGGGCGAAAGCCUGACGGAGCAACGCCGCGUGAGUGAUGAAGGUCUUCGGAUCGUAAAACUCUGUUAUUAGGGAAGAACAAAUGUGUAAGUAACUAUGCACGUCUUGACGGUACCUAAUCAGAAAGCCACGGCUAACUACGUG
rnacentral:rRNA from 1 species